rnacentral:rRNA from 1 species
AUUGAACGCUGGCGGCAGGCUUAACACAUGCAAGUCGAGCGGAGAUGAGGUGCUUGCACCUUAUCUUAGCGGCGGACGGGUGAGUAAUGCUUAGGAAUCUGCCUAUUAGUGGGGGACAACAUUCCGAAAGGAAUGCUAAUACCGCAUACGUCCUACGGGAGAAAGCAGGGGAUCUUCGGACCUUGCGCUAAUAGAUGAGCCUAAGUCGGAUUAGCUAGUUGGUGGGGUAAAGGCCUACCAAGGCGACGAUCUGUAGCGGGUCUGAGAGGAUGAUCCGCCACACUGGGACUGAGAGACGGCCCAGACUCCUACGGGAGGCAGCAGUGGGGAAUAUUGGACAAUGGGGGGAACCCUGAUCCAGCCAUGCCGCGUGUGUGAAGGAGGCCUUAUGGUUGUAAAGCACUUUAAGCGAGGAGGAGGCUACUGAGACUAAUACUCUUGGAUAGUGGACGUUACUCGCAGAAUAAGCACCGGCUAACUCUGUGCCAGCCGCCGCAGUAAUAC